UAACAUUUGGAAACAGAUGCUAAUACCGACAUAAACCUAACACCGCAUGGUGUAGGUUGAAAGAUGGUUUCGGCUAUCACUUUAGGAUGGACCCGCGGUGCAUUAGUUAGUUGGUGAGGUAAAGGCUCACCGAAGACCGUGAUGCAUAGCCGACCUGAGAGGGUAAUCGGCCACACUGGGACUGAGACACGGCCCAGACUCCUACGGGAGGCAGCAGUAGGGAAUCUUCCACAAUGGACGAAAGUCUGAUGGAGCAACGCCGCGUGAGUGAAGAAGGUUUUCGGAUCGUAAAACUCUGUUGUUGGAGAAGAAUGUAUCUGAUAGUAACUGAUCAGGUAGUGACGGUAUCCAACCAGAAAGCCACGGCUAACUACGUG
rnacentral:rRNA from 1 species